GGUGAUCCACGGGAUGAUCCACGGGGUUCGCCGCUGUCCCGUGCCAGGAUAACGCUAUAACGGCGAUCAGUAAACCCUCACCCGGCCCUGCGCCUCCGGGCACGCCGCAGCCACGUGUUUUAUUCAACGUCAAAAAUGUUUAUAACAGUGUAUCCUGGUUUAUCUUUGGAUGUUAGAAAGUGAGGAUUUGCCAGCACACUGAACUGUUAGCGUUGGGAAGAAUUGGUAGAAAAGGGUGAAAAAGAAAGGUGCUGGGAAAAUGGAGAAGAUUCUGAACAGAAUUCAUCUGGUUUCUGAUCCAGAAGCAACCUACUUCCUACAAGUAUCAUGGGAAAAGGAUUUAGGCACUGGCUUCAGUAUACUUCUUAGUGAUGGUCAGUUCUCAUGGGCUG